rnacentral:rRNA from 1 species
CCCUUUGAAUGCAUGUGCAGAAUGUCUUACUUUAUAAUCAAUACAACUUUCAACAACGGAUCUCUUGGCUCUCGCAUCGAUGAAGAACGCAGCGAAAUGCGAUACGUAAUGUGAAUUGCAGAAUUCAGUGAAUCAUCGAAUCUUUGAACGCACCUUGCGCCCCUUGGUAUUCCGAGGGGCACACCCGUUUGAGUGUCGUGAAUAUUCUCAACCUUCUUGGUUUCUUUGACCAGGAAGGCUUGGACUUUGGAGGUUUUCCUUGCUGGCCUCUUUUGAAGCCAGCUCCUCCUAAAUGAAUUAGUGGGGUCCACUUUGGUGAUCCUCGACGUGAUAAGGAUUUCUUCUACGUCUUGGGUUUCGCAGUGUAACCGCUUUCUAACUGUCUUUGAAGAAAGACAAUGUUUAUAAACCUUGACCUCAAAUCGGGUGAGACUACCCGCUGAACUUAAGCAUAUCAAUAAGCGGAGGAAAAGAAACUAACAAGGAUUCCCCUAGUAACUGCGAGUGAAGCGGGAAAAGCUCAAAUUUAAAAUCUGG